rnacentral:rRNA from 1 species
AGGAUGAACGCUGGCGGCGUGCCUAACACAUGCAAGUCGAACGUCCUGUCUCGCAAGAGGCAGGGAGUGGCGGACGGGUGAGUACCACGUGGGUCAUCUACCGUGAGGUGAGGAAUACCGGCGAGAAAUCGCCGACAAGACCGCAUAGGCUCGAUGCAAGUCGAGCAAAGCUCUCUCGAGAGAGGGAGCGCCGACACGAGGAGCCUGCGCCCGAUUAGGCUAGCUGGUGGAGUAAUGGUUCACCAGGGCGACGAUCGGUAGCUGGUCUGAGAGGACGAUCAGCCACACUGGGAUUGAGAACGGCCCAGACUCCUACGGGGGGCAGCAGUGAGGAAUUUCGUCAAUGGGGGCAACCCUGAACGAGCAACGCCGCGUGCAGGAAGAAGGUUUUCGGAUCGUAAACUGCUUUUCUCGGGGAAGAGAACGGACGGUACCCGAGGAAUCGAGCCCCGGCUAACUACGUGCCAGCAGCCGC